rnacentral:rRNA from 1 species
GACGAACGCUGGCGGCGUGCUUAACACAUGCAAGUCGAACGGAAAGGCCCUGCUUUUGUGGGGUGCUCGAGUGGCGAACGGGUGAGUAACACGUGAGUAACCUGCCCUUGACUUUGGGAUAACUUCAGGAAACUGGGGCUAAUACCGGAUAGGAGCUCCUGCUGCAUGGUGGGGGUUGGAAAGUUUCGGCGGUUGGGGAUGGACUCGCGGCUUAUCAGCUUGUUGGUGGGGUAGUGGCUUACCAAGGGUUUGACGGGUAGCCGGCCUGAGAGGGUGACCGGCCACAUUGGGACUGAGAUACGGCACAGAAUCCAACGGGAGGCAGCAGUGGGGAAUAUUGCACAAUGGGCGGAAGCCUGAGGCAGCAACGCCGCGUGCGGGAUGACGGCCUUCGGGUUGUAAACCGCUUUCGCCUGUGACGAAGCGUGAGUGACGGUAAUGGGUAAAGAAGCACCGGCUAACUACGUG